UACGUAUGGUGCAAGCGUUGCUCGGAAUCACUGGGCGUAAAGGGUGCGUAGGCGGGCAUGUAAGUCUGUUGUGAAAUACCGCAGCUUAACUGCGGUGCUGCGACGGAAACUGCAUAUCUGGAGUCCCGGAGAGGCAGACGGAAUUCCCGGUGUAGCGGUGAAAUGCGCAGAUAUCGGGAGGAACACCGAUGGCGAAGGCAGUCUGCUGGACGGAGACUGACGCUGAGGCACGAAAGCGUGGGGAGCAAACAGG
rnacentral:rRNA from 1 species